GACGAACGCCGGCGGCGUGCUUAACACAUGCAAGUCGAACGGAAAGGCCCCCUUGUGGGGUACUCGAGUGGCGAACGGGUGAGUAACACGUGAGUAACCUACCCUUGACUUUGGGAUAACUUCAGGAAACUGGGGCUAAUACCGGAUAGGAGCUCCUGCUGCAUGGUGGGGGUUGGAAAGUUUCGGCGGUUGGGGAUGGACUCGCGGCUUAUCAGCUUGUUGGUGGGGUAGUGGCUCACCAAGGCUUUGACGGGUAGCCGGCCUGAGAGGGUGACCGGCCACAUUGGGACUGAGAUACGGCCCAGACUCCUACGGGAGGCAACAGUGGGGAAUAUUGCACAAUGGGCGGAAGCCUGAUGCAGCAACGCCGCGUGCGGGAUGACGGCCUUCGGGUUGUAAACCGCUUUCGCCUGUGACGAAGCGUGAGUGACGGUAAUGGGUAAAGAAGCACCGGCUAACUACGU
rnacentral:rRNA from 1 species